rnacentral:rRNA from 1 species
GAUGAACGCUGGCGGCGUGCUUAACACAUGCAAGUCGAACGAUGAAGCCCAGCUUGCUGGGUGGAUUAGUGGCGAACGGGUGAGUAACACGUGAGCAACCUGCCCCUGACUCUGGGAUAAGCGCUGGAAACGGCGUCUAAUACUGGAUAUGUCCCGUCACCGCAUGGUGUGCGGGUGGAAAGAUUUUUCGGUUGGGGAUGGGCUCGCGGCCUAUCAGCUUGUUGGUGAGGUAAUGGCUCACCAAGGCGUCGACGGGUAGCCGGCCUGAGAGGGUGACCGGCCACGCUGGGACUACGACACGGCCCAGACUCCUACGGGAGGCAGCAGUGGGGAAUAUUGCACAAUGGGCGAAAGCCUGAUGCAGCAACGCCGCGUGAGGGAUGACGGCCUUCGGGUUGUAAACCUCUUUCAGCAGGGAAGAAGCGAAAGUGACGGUACCUGCAGAAGAAGCACCGGCUAACUACGUGCCAGCCGCCGCCGUAAAAC